UAUUGGGCAAUGGGCGCAAGCCUGACCCAGCAACGCCGCGUGAAGGAAGAAGGCCCUCGGGUUGUAAACUUCUUUUAUCAAGGACGAAACAAAUGACGGUACUUGAUGAAUAAGCCACGGCGAACUACGUGCCAGCAGCCGCGGUAAUACGUAGGUGGCAAGCGUUAUCCGGAUUUACUGGGUGUAAAGGGGGUGUAGGCGGGAGUGCAAGUCAGAUGUGAAAACUAUGGGCUCAACCCAUAGCCUGCAUUUGAAACUGUACUUCUUGAGUGCUGGAGAGGCAAUCGGAAUUCCGUGUGUAGCGGUGAAAUGCGUAGAUAUACGGAGGAACACCAGUGGCGAAGGCGGAUUGCUGGACAGUAACUGACGCUGAGGCGCGAAAGCGUGGGGAGCAAACAGG
rnacentral:rRNA from 1 species